UACGAAGGGGGCUAGCGUUGCUCGGAAUCACUGGGCGUAAAGCGCACGUAGGCGGCUUUUUAAGUCAGGGGUGAAAUCCUGGAGCUCAACUCCAGAACUGCCUUUGAUACUGGGAAGCUUGAGUCCGGAAGAGGUGAGUGGAACUCCGAGUGUAGAGGUGAAAUUCGUAGAUAUUCGGAAGAACACCAGUGGCGAAGGCGACUCGCUGGACAAGUAUUGACGCUGAGGUGCGAAAGCGUGGGGAGCAAACAGGG
rnacentral:rRNA from 1 species